UACGUAGGGUGCAAGCGUUGUCCGGAAUUAUUGGGCGUAAAGAGCUCGUAGGCGGUUUGUCGCGUCUGCUGUGAAAACUCAGGGCUUAACCCUGAGCUUGCAGUGGGUACGGGCAGACUAGAGUGCGGUAGGGGAGACUGGAAUUCCUGGUGUAGCGGUGAAAUGCGCAGAUAUCAGGAGGAACACCGGUGGCGAAGGCGGUUCUCUGGGCCUUACCUGACGCUGAGGAGCGAAAGCGUGGGGAGCGAACAGG
rnacentral:rRNA from 1 species